rnacentral:rRNA from 1 species
GACGAACGCUGGCGGCGUGCUUAACACAUGCAAGUCGAACGGAAAGGCCCUGCUUUUGUGGGGUGCUCGAGUGGCGAACGGGUGAGUAACACGUGAGUAACCUGCCCUUGACUUUGGGAUAACUUCAGGAAACUGGGGCUAAUACCGGAUAGGAGCUCCUGCUGCAUGGUGGGGGUUGGAAAGUUUGGGCGGUUGGGGAUGGACUCGCGGCUUAUCAGCUUGUUGGUGGGGUAGUGGCUUAGCAAGGAUUGGACGGGUAGCCGGCCUGGGAGGGAGACCGGGCACAGAGUGCCUGGGGAGGGACCCGGGCGCAAUCGGGGAGCAGGGGUGGAGAAUAUUGCACAAUGGGCGGAAUCUUGGUAGAAGGACGCCGCGUGGGAGAGGACGUCCUUCGGGUAGGAAACCGCUUUCGCCUGUGACGAGGCGUGAGGAAGGUUAAUGGAGAAAGAAGCACCGGCUAAUUAGGU